GUUACAACACAAAGUCGACAAGGAUCACAACCCUUUCAAAGACUAAAGCCGGCGAUAUCAUUAAAUCGAACAUUCCAGAGAUAAUAAGAAAGAAAGUUAAAUAUAAUGCCAAAGAUAUACCCAUUAUCCUAGAGUAAACAUAUCUAAAAUCAAAGGAGAAUGUACUUGAAACACUUAAGAACCAAGGGCGCUAAAAUUGAACUAUAUAGUGAGGACGGACAAGCGCCCAUUUUGAAAACCUUGGAAAAGCACGUGCUGAACCCACGAACCAGAACUUUAGAAGAACAUAAACCACCACAGGUCAGAACCACAUAUUCACCGAUUACGGCGUAAACAAAAGAAUCUGCAAAGACAAACCGGAUCCUCAAGGGAGGAAAGCACAAGAUCAAGUCUUAAGACUCCAAAAGCUGACAACGUCAAAAAGGACUAACGGCUCAAACAUGCGGACACUCAUGUUCCCAAACUCAACCAUAUAUAAGCAAGAGAAUGGUCACCUCCUCGCGAGAGAAGAGUCGGAGAUUCAAACCACUACUUUUUUUUUAAACCUCACUACACACCACAAAGGCAAGGAGAAGGCAAGUAGAUAGCUCCACAGCGACUUACCAUUCAAAAGACGGACCCCGCAAACGAGACCUUGACAAACCCGAGUCACCAACAGAUCCAGAGAGCAAGAUGAAGCAGGAGCACCCCCAGUAUAAAAGCUACGACUAGCAGAAAGUACAACAGCAACAAAGAAACCAGACCCGUAAUACAUAGCCCCACCAUAUAAUGUUAUGUCGAGAUGGCUUACAAAUACUCCUGAAAUCCCAAAGAAGACAAGACAACACUAACCCACACAAAAACACACUUGACUGACAACUGACAACUAAAUAAUGAGAGAUAAGAAACUCGAACUGUAUCCAAUAGGUUUCAUAAACAUCGAUUAACAAGCUACAUAACAAGAUCCAAAAGAACAACUAACCCCAUAUUUGAACCGGUUCAAAACACCACCGAAAACCAGAUCAAAGAUUCGAAUAUCACCAGCAGCGCCAACUGACUUUAAAACCGUCAAGAACUCAAUUGCUCAAACUCCCAUGAUAAAAAAGAAAGACAAGGACUUAAGAGAACGAGGAAAAAGAAGUGCCUCUAUAGAAUUGGUGAGGAACGCUGGUGAAAUAACUAAGCUAGCGAUAAGUUGAAAAAAAAUAGUUAAGACCUCUCGCCUGAUACUUAUAGCUUCUUAUAUACUCAUUCUGUUUCAUAAUAAAUGUCAUUCUAGUUUUUUUUUUUUUAUACAAAAAUGUCACUUUACAAUUCCAAUGCAAAUUAUACUUACUUUCAGAUGAAAAUUAAUUGCAAACUACAUUGGUUUUAUAAAUAAUUUUAUUUAUUUUAAAUAUUAUUGGUCAGAAAGAUGUAAUUAAUAACAACUUAUAUAUAUAUUUCCGCUACUUUUUUAGUUUGUGUUCAAAGUGUUAAAGUGACACUUAUUCAGAAACGGAGAGAGUAUAUGACAUGAAAAAUAUUUUGCAUCUUAGAUUCAUAAUUUUUCACUGUCUUAUUAUAGAGUUUUUUUUAAUGAUUUUAAAAAUAACUCUUCUUAACAAAACAAAACAAAACAAAACAAAAAUGUUUGAAUCCGAUAGUCAAAUAUAUGGAAAAAUGAUUAUUUGUAAUUGUUACGGUAUUAAUCUAUAUGGUUUAUGCAAACAACAAAAUCCAUUUAAGCUUUAAUUAGACCAUUCUCGUUUUUCUAAGAUUAUUGUACUCCUAACGCUCGGCGCAAAACAACACUUUACCACCCGUUUUUUUUUUCAUCUACCAACCCGUUAUUGUCUCCACAUGGAAAUAAUGAAUUUAAUAGCUCCAUAAUUAAAAAAAAAAAUAGCUCCAUAGUUAAAACUGGUAAAACACGUAAUAGACUAAUCAUAUUCAUAGAAUGUGAUGUUUGACAAAAAAAAGAAGAGAAUCAUACGAAUGUGAUUUGACUUAACAACCCUAGUCAAACCACAUUAUUUCCUCUCUAAAUCCACCAAUCACACGUAAACACACACCUCUUCGUUUCUUUUUUUUUUCUUUUUCUAACAACACCUCUUCGAUUUUUUUUGAACUGAAAAAUUCUUUUAGUUAGGUAAGUAAGGGGGAUUCGAACCCGGGUUCAAAGAAACCUCUUCGUUUCAUUCUAUUCCUUUCCUUUUUUUUAUCUAGGUGUGUGUACACAAAAAGACACACCUAGCUACAUUUCUAUUAUCAUAUAAAACUUUAACUUUACCUUUCCUCUUCCAAUAAAAAAACUAUCUUCUCUUCACCAAAUUCUGUUGCUCCAUCCUCUAUGGCCCUCUCACCUAAAUCAAGCUCGUUAGAAUUAUCAAUAUCGCUUCCAAGCUUCUCUCAAUUAUCUUCACACCCUUCAUCUGGUAAGGUCCAAAGAUUGAUAUCAAAAUCAUCUAUAUAUAUUAUAUAGAGUUGUAAUAGCUGUCUCUGAAAUUGUUUGAUAUAUAAUAUAUUUUCUUAGGUGAGCACAUGGUGAGAGAUUUGGACAUAAAUCAAACUCCAAAGACGGAAGAUCGUGAGUGGAUGAUGAUCGCUGCAGAACCGUAUGCCAACGACGAAGAUAGCAACUCCUGCGGCCGGCGGCGCAAAAAGCUCCGUCUAACUAAAGAGCAAUCACAUCUUCUUGAAGACAGUUUCAUACAAAAGCAUACCUUAACCUCUGUAAGUAUAUGUAUUAAACUAUUUUAUGGUACAUAUGUUUUGCUUACGUUAGAAAAAGAAGAAAACAAGAGAGUUGAUUUUCUGAUCAUCAUGUCGGCUGAUUAUGUUUUGGUUGAAUAAUAAUGAAACCACAGAAACAAAAACUAGAAUUGGCCACUUUUUUGAAGCUUAGUCAAAGGCAAGUUGAGGUGUGGUUUCAAAAUCGAAGAGCUCGGUACGUCCUUCAAUCUACCGCUUUCGUAUAUUGCAUCGUUUAUAAUACAUAUAAAUUGAGGAAAAUACGAUUUAUACCGUAUCGAAAUUAUAUUUGUAUAUACAUAUACGGCAAAGCAUGUUAUAUGUGUAGACUUUUUUGGAAUUAUGUUUUAUGGUGGUUGAGAAUAUAUUAAUUUAUGAGAGUGCGUUGACAGAAUAUUUAAUAUAAGAUCGUGUGUAAUCGUAACUUAGAUUCUAAACAUAAUUAACCUUAUAUACAAUAAGUAGUUUUGAAAAAUGGAGUAAAGUGGAAGUGAGCCACUUUUAUCCAAGUGUUUUUGUCAUUGAUUCCCACAUAUACAGUUAUCACGCAUUCUAUGCGACACAUGAAAAAGCAUGUAUUCUUAUUCUUAUAUAAAUGUCCCGUGAUUAAAAUCAAAAAUAUUAUAGAAUCUAAUUAAUGCAUCAACAAGAAAAAAAAAGCGUUAGGGAACAUGAGGGACAAAGUUAGAGACAGUUAACAAUGUGUAUAUUUCUUUUAGCCAUCUUUGGCCGGUCCACAAUUAUGAUGUUUGUCCUAUAUAAUAGGCAUAUUGCUUUAAUGAAACAUAAACUUAAAACACUGCACACAUACACUUUUUAACAAUGUUUUCUCUAUACAUUUGUGUGUAUAUAUAUAUUCAUAUAUAUUAUGCAAAAUUCAGUAAAGAAAAAAGUUUACAUAUAUAUAUAAAAGUAAGCUCAAGCAUAUGGUUGGUGUAAGAUAAAACCUAAAAACUACAAAUGGCGCAUGCAUGCAUUUUUUUUUUUUGUGUCAACGCAUGCAUUUUAAUAGUACGCAUAGCUCAGUCAACCAAUAUCAUAUAUAGGAGUAAGCUCAAGCAUACGGAGAUGGAAUGUAAGUAUCUAAAGAGAUGCUUUGGGUCAUUGAAGGAGCAAAAUCGACUUCUACAAAAAGAAGUUGAAGAACUACGAGCUCUAAACGCAAUGCCGGCCUCGAUUUUAACCAUGUGUCCUCGUUGUGAACGUGCGACUGAUGCAACAGAUAAUGCCGUCAAGGAGGGAACAGCUACGAGAAGCCAGUCACGGAGGACAAUUUCCUCUUCCUCUUCCCUGUGUUGACUGGUUCGGUCAAAAGUCAAAUAUUGAAACGUCUAUUUAGAGUGAAGAGUAAAGAUUUGAUGAUUAAUUAGGAGGAUUUUGUGCAUAGUUCUUAAAUUAUUUAUCACAUCAAUGAGGAGAAAAAAGAAUUUGUUUAUUCCUCGUUUUAUAGGGUUCUUAUGUUUUUCUAACUUUACUUAUGGAUUCGUAAGUCCGUAACUUUAUUUUUCGUGUCCGUUUGGAUUGAAUCGGACUAUUAGUGACUUGAAAAUAGAUGUUAUAUCUUGUCUACCCGGCGUAUGUAGAGUACAAACUGAAUGGGAAACUAGAUAUUAGUGUAUUGACGUCAUUAUUAUUUGACUUCCACAAGUUUCAAAUAUGGCUGGCUAUUUGUUCCUUGACUUAAAUAAAUAAUACAAUGUUCUGAACCAGAUUGUGGAUGACUCAUAACCAAGAGAUUAUGAUUUGUAAUCUUUCCAUUUAUCUAUGACGGUGUAAUCUCCUAUAUAAGAAAUCUCUAUAUUAUAAAUAAAGAUAGAAUUUUCCAUUACUUUUAUAACACGUUAUCAGCACGAAACUCUAAAUCCCUAAGCUAAUACCCAAAUCGGAAAACCCUAAAACCCUAACCCUAGCCGGCGGUCCGACGAACCCUAAUCCGAUCGCGCCUCUUGUUCCCGCGUCUAUUCCAGCUCGCGUCCCCGUCUCAGCUUCAGACGAUCACAGUCCGAUCUCAGCCUCAGCCCGCAUCCAGGACAGCUCGCGUUCCCGAUCAGACGUCCGCAAGCCGAUAGCGAUUGGCGCGCAAGCAUACCGUUCGCGUUCCGACGAUCAAGGCGUUCCCGAUCAGCUCGUGUUCAGCUCGCGUUCGUUCCCGUUUGUGUUGCAGCUCGCGGUUCAUAAUCUUUGGUGGUCCGGUUUCAACAAUUAUCUAAGUUAAAGGUAAUUCGAAACCUAAGAACCUAUAAUCGAAUUUGGAUUGAUUGAUAAAGAAUGAAACUCUAAAAUCCUAAUAUUUAUGAAAACCAUAGGGUAAUAGAUCAAAACCCUAUUGAGUAAAUCGAAUCUCAAAAGUUCGAUACCCCAAACCCUAAAUCGAGAUUGAUCUAUUGAUCAAUUAAAAUCAAAAUCAUUAAUGGUUUUGAAUCUCAAAUCAAACCCCUUUGAUCUAAUGAUCAAAUUCGAAACCCUAAACCCUAAUUUGAAAAUCGAUUUUGAUUGUUUGAAUUUGAAUCUUCAUUGAUUGUUUUGAUCACCUAGAACUGUUGCUAAGAUUGUUUAAACUCGAAUCUGAAUGAAUUGAAAUUGCUUUGCUUGUUUUAAAAUAUGUAAACCCUAAAUUACGUGUGCAUGGAUUGUUUUAUUUGAUUGAUUGAAUGUUUCUUUGAGGUUUAAAUCCGUGUGAGUUAGGAUUGAUAGUUUUUAUAACCUGAUUGAAUGAUUUGAGGUUUAAUAUUGCAUGUUAGAAUCUGUUAUAAUAUAAACCCUAAUUCGAAUUGAUAAACCCUAAAAUAGAAUCAGUGUAUUGCAUAAUCCGAAUUGAAUGUUUUGAAGUUUCAUAUUAUACUAGGUUGAUAGUUUCAUGAUAUAAUCAACUGUUCUGAGGUUUAAGAUUAUUUGCUAGAAGCUGAUUGAUUGAUAAAACCCUAAUUUCGAAUUGAAACCCUAAACCCUAAUUUGCGUAUUCCUAAAAUCAGAUUGCUUGAUUUACUCUCUUAUUUUUUCUAGAAUUCUCUUAUCGUUUCUUUUUUUAAUUUAAACAUUUUCAAUCUAAUGCACUAAUAUAUAUUAUUUACAAAAUGGUUUUUUUAUUAUUUUUCUUUUACAAGUCACAUUAAUUCUAAAAUCACAUUAAUUCUAAAAUGACACUUAUAGCAUAAAACGACAUAACAUAUUUUAAAAUGAAAUUCAUUGCAUUAACACUACGUAUUAUAUUUUGAACCCACAGGUUCUACUGCCAUAUUCUUUUUUUUUUUUUUCUGAAAAGAUCUACUACCAUAUUCUUGAUUCAGUAGUUGUGGAGCUACUGCCAUAUUCUUGGUUCAGAGAACCAAUGGGCUUCACUGAGCUCAUUAAUCAGCCGACUUAACUAGUUACCAUUGUGGUCAUUUUAUCUUCAAUGUAUUAAGUAUGGAACCAACAAGUCGCUUGUAAUCUUUCAAGAGAACCUGUACUUUUAUGUUCCUGUCUUGGAUUCUUCAACGAACCAAUUCGCUGGACCGGGAAGAAAGAAAUUAUUCAACAGAACCGGGGGAAAAUAGUAAACCGAAGUGAAAUAAUAAACCGGAUCAAUGUCGGCUAAAGAAAGCAAACGCAGGUAGUGGGACCCCUAACAACUUCACUUUGGUUGCAAAAGCCGAAAGGCAUUGAUGUUUUGGAAGAGCCAAUAAGUAUAGACAUUAGGAAAUCUUGUGGCAUGCAUGCCAAUUAUAACGCGUUAAUUGUCUCCCAAUAAUGCGAAAGUACAUAUCAUUAAAUAUUAAAUAAAGUCUUUAGUUAAACAUUUUUAUGUAUAAACCUUAAAUACUUACCGUAUUUUUGUUUCAGUUUAGUUAUCGUUGUAGAGUAAAAUUUUCGUUUCAUAAUAAGUGUCAUUUUAUAAUUUCAAUGUAAAAUUUAUUAACUUUAUAUUCUAAUCUAUUUUACUUUUGGUUAAAAGUUACAACGUAUUUAGGUGUAUUGGUAAUAAUGUUUUUAUUUAAUAAAUAUACAAAAUUAAAUAUUUUUUUAAUAUAUGUGCACAGUGGUGGAACCAGAAAUAUUUUGUAUUUAUGGGAUCAAAAUUUAUUUUUAAAUAGGGUCAAAAUAAUUUUGGUUUAACAAAACCAAAAAAGUUUUAAGAAAUAGUGGGGUCAGUUAGCUCCACUCUUCAUAUGCUGCCUCUGCCGCCCCUGUGUGUGCACAAGUCUAAAACGAUAAUUAUAAUGAAACAGAUGGAAUAUAUGUUAGUGUAUAUACUCACAAAAAAAAAAUUGACUAUCUUUUAUACAUACAAGUAACUUAAUGAUAUUAUUGGCCUACCGGACUCAUCUUAGUGAUUAAGAUAUUGUAAUUGUUCAACUAACAAGCAGAUCCAAUAGUAAUAUUUCUUGUAUAAAUACUCGCAGAGGCACCUUAUAUAUAAAUAUCAGUUAAAAAUCAACCAUGUUACACUUUUACAGUGUCGAAUUAUUCAAAUUAUUUGAAAUAUAGUUUUUUGUAUAUAUUUUGGAUGGUACAUGAUUAAAACUUGAAGCUAUGAAAAAAAAUCCUGGAUCUUUUUUUUAAUCAUCUUUAAAUUUAUUAAAACGUUUAAAAUCACCGUUACAACACAAAGUCGACAAGGAUCACAACCCUUUCAAAGACUAAAGCCGGCGAUAUCAUUAAAUCGAACAUUCCAGAGAUAAUAAGAAAGAAAGUUAAAUAUAAUGCCAAAGAUAUACCCAUUAUCCUAGAGUAAACAUAUCUAAAAUCAAAGGAGAAUGUACUUGAAACACUUAAGAACCAAGGGCGCUAAAAUUGAACUAUAUAGUGAGGACGGACAAGCGCCCAUUUUGAAAACCUUGGAAAAGCACGUGCUGAACCCACGAACCAGAACUUUAGAAGAACAUAAACCACCACAGGUCAGAACCACAUAUUCACCGAUUACGGCGUAAACAAAAGAAUCUGCAAAGACAAACCGGAUCCUCAAGGGAGGAAAGCACAAGAUCAAGUCUUAAGACUCCAAAAGCUGACAACGUCAAAAAGGACUAACGGCUCAAACAUGCGGACACUCAUGUUCCCAAACUCAACCAUAUAUAAGCAAGAGAAUGGUCACCUCCUCGCGAGAGAAGAGUCGGAGAUUCAAACCACUACUUUUUUUUUAAACCUCACUACACACCACAAAGGCAAGGAGAAGGCAAGUAGAUAGCUCCACAGCGACUUACCAUUCAAAAGACGGACCCCGCAAACGAGACCUUGACAAACCCGAGUCACCAACAGAUCCAGAGAGCAAGAUGAAGCAGGAGCACCCCCAGUAUAAAAGCUACGACUAGCAGAAAGUACAACAGCAACAAAGAAACCAGACCCGUAAUACAUAGCCCCACCAUAUAAUGUUAUGUCGAGAUGGCUUACAAAUACUCCUGAAAUCCCAAAGAAGACAAGACAACACUAACCCACACAAAAACACACUUGACUGACAACUGACAACUAAAUAAUGAGAGAUAAGAAACUCGAACUGUAUCCAAUAGGUUUCAUAAACAUCGAUUAACAAGCUACAUAACAAGAUCCAAAAGAACAACUAACCCCAUAUUUGAACCGGUUCAAAACACCACCGAAAACCAGAUCAAAGAUUCGAAUAUCACCAGCAGCGCCAACUGACUUUAAAACCGUCAAGAACUCAAUUGCUCAAACUCCCAUGAUAAAAAAGAAAGACAAGGACUUAAGAGAACGAGGAAAAAGAAGUGCCUCUAUAGAAUUGGUGAGGAACGCUGGUGAAAUAACUAAG
rnacentral:lncRNA from 1 species